AGCACCACGACACAGACGUUUAUAAAAAAAAGUAUGCUGCAUUUUAUUAAACAGUCGCACAGUGGAGACGCUACAAUAUUUCACAGGCAACACUUUGCAGAGUCAUCUCAGGUGUAGCACUGCACACUUAAUACCACAAUUUAUAGGGAAUGCGAUGUACAAAAAGACAGUAAUGAAGAGACACGUAGCGGAGUACAGAGAAGAGAGGCAGAACUAACCCGGAGGCUCUGGAGAUAGCUUGAAUGAUAGACGUUAGCUUGAAUGUAUAUACAACUUCGAGGCAAUGUAUGACAUCAUUAUAAUACAGAGAGAACGCAGACUGUUGGAGGAACCCUUCACACCAUAUCACUACUAACUUUGGUUUGGUUACCUCUGCAGGAGGUAACCAAACUCAAAACCACCCUUUGACACCACAAUGACACCUUAAUUGGAAAGAGGUACCCAUGUAUAAACUGACUCAUAAGUUGUACCUACGCCAGGAUGGUGUGUGUUAGAGACAUUAAAGAAUUUGGUAAAAAUUGAUAUUUACCCACUAUUCACACACACAAACACACGCACGCAGCUCACACACCCCGAACAAACGCACACAUGCAGGCAUGCCUGCACACAGUGUUAAUACCACAGAGGACUUUCUCUAAUCAUGCACAGGAAAUGGAUACUGGUUGAUGGGGCUGCUGUAUUUUCCUGCAAGCCCAGUUACCUGUCCAGGAGUGAUCUAAAGGUGUGUCAGUGUCAGGUUAGUCACUUUGGAAAGGCUGCAUUAGUUCAGGUGAUUCUGGAGAGCUGUUAGUGUGUCACAGGUGAGUGUGUUAGUCCAGGUGAUUCUGGAGAGCUGUUAGUGUGUCACAGGUGAGUGUGUUAGCCCAGGUGAUUCUGGAGAGCUGUUAGUGUGUCACAGGUGAGUGUGUUAGUCCAGGUGAUUCUGGAGAGCUGUUAGUGUGUCACAGGUGAGUGUGUUAGCCCAGGUGAUUCUGGAGAGCUGUUAGUGUGUCGCAGGUUAGUGUGUCACAGGUGAGUGUGUUAGUCCAGGUGAUUCUGGAGAGCUGUUAGUGUGUCACAGGUGAGUGUGUUAGUCCAGGUGAUUCUGGAGAGCUGUUAGUGUGUCGCAGGUGAGUGUGUUAGUCCAGGUGAUUCUGGAGAGCUGUUAGUGUGUCACAGGUGAGUGUGUUAGUCCAGGUGAUUCUGGAGAGCUGUUAGUGUGUCACAGGUGAGUGUGUUAGCCCAGGUGAUUCUGGAGAGCUGUUAGUGUGUCACAGGUGAGUGUGUUAGUCCAGGUGAUUCUGGAGAGCUGUUAGUGUGUCACAAGUGAGUGUGUUAGCCCAGGUGAUUCUGGAGAGCUGUUAGUGUGUCACAGGUGAGUGUGUUAGUCCAGGUGAUUCUGGAGAGCCGUUAGUGUGUCACAGGUGAGUGUGUUAGCCCAGGUGAUUCCGAGGAGCUGUAAGCAGUGUGUCACAGGUGAGUGUGUCAUGGGUUAGUGUGUUAGUCCAAGUGAUUCCGGGGAGCUGUAAGCAGUGUGUCACAGGUGAGUGUGUUGUGGGUUAGUGUGUUAGCCCAGGUGAUUCCGGGGAGCUGUAAGCAGUGUGUCACAGGUGAGUGUGUCGCAGGUUAAUGUGUUAGUAUAGGUGUCGCGGGCAGCUCUAGCAGGGUUAGACACAGCUGCGAAAGGCAUAGUCUGACGGUGGCAGCGACGGCAACAUCUUUCUGAGACCAGACGGCCUAUAGCCGCUCCUACUGAUGAGAAACGACUGGGAGGAUUUCUGAAAACUCAUAAUAGCAAGACGUAUGAGAUGCAUGAGAAGCCAUUCAAGACAGAAGAAAAAUUAAUUUCCAUUGUAAGAGAUUCUGCCAUUAGCUGGAAAAGUUUAGUUAGGGGUUAGUGAUUUAGAGGUGGACUCUGAAGGAGAAUCGAAGGAGGGAGCAAGAACUUGAUCGUCUACAGCCUGUCAAUCAAUCAUUUCAUGACAGAUGACUGGAAAAAGUUCACAGAGAGGCUGAUAUUGGUUUUGCUCCAAUAUUUGUUUUCUGAAAUUGAAUGUCAGAGUUUUUUUGAAACCUCAGCGCCUCUAUAACCCGCCAGGCCAGCUUCACUGUGACCCCAGUCAUUUUUUUUAAAAGGGGUGUGCCGUGCUCCCCAAAAACCUUCAAUGUGAUCCCCCAGAAUCCCCCCCCCCAUGCUCAGACAUUAGUUCAUCCGAUUUUCCCUUAAGAUUAGAAGUGAGGAGACUGCAGCCCCAUUUCAUGUGAGUCUGCUUCUGUACACAGCUCAGUUAUCUAGUUGUUGAGGUCGAUAGAGCUCCAUACAAUCUCUGUAUGGAGAAGAGUCUCUUUAAUUAUCAGAGAUGAAGGAAUAAUGUUUCCUAGCAUCUAUAAAAGGUUCAUUGUGUAUUUUAGAUAUUUGUUUUGGCCCAGGUCUGAUCACAAGGCUAACGUGCUAAUAAAGACUGAAAGACAGUGGGGAAUGAGAGAUUUCCCCCAAAGCCGGGCGUUGCCUUCUCCUCCCUUCAGGUAGAGGGCGCCAUCCUCGGGCCACAUGACUGGGCAGCAGUGGCGGUGUCCCUCAUGGUCAGUACCAGGCAGGUGAGUCAGUAGUUAGUAAGUGACUUGUGUAAAGGAGGGGUCACCUGGUGUCCCCGCAAAAUUUCCAUGCAGCUUUCUGAACCUGCUACCUAUUUCUCCCCCCAUUUAACUGCUUCAA